rnacentral:rRNA from 1 species
GGACUACAAGGGUAUCUAAUCCUGUUUGCUCCCCACGCUUUCGCGUCUCAGCGUCAGUACCGUCCCAGCGAGCUGCCUUCGCCAUUGGUGUUCCUCCUGAUAUCUGCGCAUUUCACCGCUACACCAGGAAUUCCACUCGCCCCUUCCGGACUCUAGCUCGACAGUAUCCACCGGCUUUCCAGGGUUGAGCCCUGGACUUUCACAGCAGACUUAUCAAGCCGCCUACACGCUCUUUACGCCCAAUAAUUCCGGACAACGCUUGCACCCUACGUAUUACCGCGGCUGCUGGCAC